GAACCGUGAAAGCGUGGCC
rnacentral:snRNA from 1 species